AACCCAUUGUUACAUUAUUAGACGGAAAGACCCCAAGAGCUUUUUUUGUGUUAGAUUUGUUUGGGGUAAAUGUAGAUUAUUCAUUUAUUUUUAGAUCCUUCAUGGAUAAAGGAUAAAGUUACCUUGGGGAUAACUGAGUAAAGGGCAGGGAGAGGUCCUAUUGAUCUGUUUAUUACUACCUCGAUGUUGGCUUGUUGAACCUUUUCGGUGUAGAGGCUGGAAAAGGAAGUCUGUUCGACUUUUAAAUCUUCAUGAGUUGAGUUAAGACCGGUGUAAGCCAGGUUGGUUCUUAUCUAUAAUUGGUUCUAGUUAGUACGAAAGGAUUAUUAGGAUACAGUGUUUCUGUACAUAUAGGAAUAGAAAGUAUACA
rnacentral:rRNA from 1 species